AGAGCUGGGGAAGGGCGCUCGCGAAAGGUCAGGGAGCGAAGAACAUGCGCAUUACGGUUUGUGCGCGGUGGCGCCGCUUGUGGGGUAGUCGGCUGUGGCAGCUGGGGCUAGCCUCGUCUGCAAGCUAAACCUGGAGAGCCCCAAAGCUCGUGGCCUGUUAUCAUAGUAGCUAACUUUUACAGCGUGCUUAGCCGUGCCAGGCACUGAGUAAGCGCUUCACACGCGUCAUUUCAUUUGCUCCAACAGCUCUUUGAAGUAGCACGGAGUAUUACACGGACCAGUUUUAAAGUCGAAAAAAAGACGGAGUAAGUUGGGGAGAGGCAGACAGAGAGGGAGGGAGAAUCUCAAGACUCCACCCUCUGUCUGUAACCCCUUGGAGGAGCUGGAUUUCACACCCUGAAAUCAUGACCUGAAUGGAAAUCAAGUGUGCUGUCUAGGGAGUAAGCCACCCAGGCUCCCUGAUCGGUCCUGUCUCGGGCUGGUAACAUUAUGGAAUCCCUGUUGAAAUGCAAGCUGGACUGGUGGAAAUGAGAUUCCCAUAUUCUCUCAUAAGCUGCUUGUGAAGGUGAGGAAACAGGCGCAGGAAGGCUAACAAUUUACCCAAGUUCCCAUGGCUGGGCUCAUUUAAACGUGGAGACAGUUCUACCACGAGGCCAUCGCAUCCUCUGUCAUGGACAUCUGUUGCUGCAGGCCUAUUAUCUGCUGCCUGCUUUUCAGGGCCUGACCAACCGGAAUAUUACUAUUUCCCAGCCUCAACGACUGGUUUAGGAAUGAACACAUGAUCCGAGCCAGAGAGAGAUCACAAGUAGGUGGAGAGGCAGGCAGAGAGAG